AAAGUAAAGCUUCUGGAAACAAACGUGAGAUGUAAAUGAUCCAAACAUAUAAUGCAGUGAUUGAGAGAUGAAGAAAUAAAGGCUCCUCAGAAGAUGUGAGAUGUUCUGGAGGCUUGUGAAGAUCAUUCCUCCGCUGAGGAACAGUGAAAGUAAAGCUUCUGGAAACAAACGCUCCUCAAAAGAUCCUGAUGAUCAGAUUUGAGACUCUAAAACAUGAUUGAUGGAGAAUCAAGUAAAGCUGAGCUGCUUCAGUCCAGUAAGAGUUCAUCUGGAAAUAUUACUGCAGUUAUUCUGAUGUAUUCUGCGUUUCAUUUGAGAGGUUUUCUGGGUUUGCUGGCAAAUCCUGAGAGGCCACAGACACUGGAAACGAGGGACGAGGAAAGAAGGCACAGGAGGAAGCUCUGUGAGCGUAGCGCGUCGUCUGCUGGAGGAGAGCGGAUCUACCUGUGUGUGUCCAGAUAACGUGAUCUCUCGGGAGAAACAGCAGGGUCUGGACUGAUCCGGAAGGUGACCCACUUUCACGGAGCUCCCUUCUGCUUCAAACAGCGCUCGGCUCGGAGAGAGAGACACCAGAACACCUGAAGACAAUGCUCUGCUGACUGCAGAAAACAGGACUUUAAUGUGACACACUAUAACACACUUUACUGAAAUUAAGAUAAGUUGUUGUUUAUGCACUGGCUAAUUUUACAUUCUGACAAAAUAUCCAAGACACACAUUUAAGUGUUUAUUUUAAUACACGUUGGUCAAUAGCUGUACUAUUUUGUCUAAAUAAAUUAAAAAUAAAACACUAAAAACCAAAAUAAAAUAUUUUAAAAUCUACACAUGAAUUUAGAUUAUAAUAAUAAUAAAAAUAGUUAUUAGUGUUUUUAUAAGAUAAUAUAAAUGUAAAAAUGUGAGAGAUGUCCAGUAUACGCUAAUAUAUUUAAUAUUGACUUUUAGCAAUACAUUAUGAAACAAAGCAACUUUUAAAACCAGUGUUAUUUGUUAAUAUUGUUAAUUGUUUUUGUUAAUAUUUUGAAUUAGAUUAUAUUUUCGUUUUUCAUCUUAAAUUAUAUAAACUAAAUAAAUAACAUUUAUAUAUUUUUAAUUAUAUAUUAUAUGUAUAUAUUACAUUUUAUAUUAAUUUCUAGUAUUUAGAUUUAGUCUAGUUUAUUUAGUUGUAGUGAUUUUAGUACUAAAACUAAAUUAAAAUUAGAAAUGUUGCUUUGGCAACUAGCUAAAAAGAAACAAACUGAAGUGUAUUUUUAUUUCAUCCUAGUAAUGUCGAGACUUGAGAGAAAAUUAAUAAAUCGUUAUCCAUAAAUGUCUACCUGACAAAAUCGACCACUAGAUGUCGCUCUAUUCCGUCAUCCUAAUUACAGAAAUCAAAUAAAAUAUGAGCAAUAAUAGUGAUUUAGAAUACCGUAGAACAAAUCUGAGAUAAAACGCUUAGGCGGCAGUUGUAAGUUGUUGCCUGGCAACUGCAACGACGUUUUUUAAACGAAUUCUAAGCGAACUGUCAUUUUCCCGGGAACCUCCGCAGCACGUGACUCACCCGGCGCCUCGCGCGCAGC
rnacentral:lncRNA from 1 species